UUCUUUUGUAUCUAGGAGCUGAGGCACCAGGUUGCACAAGAUGCAAACAGACAGCCAUCCUGGGGCACAUCUGAGAAGAUACAAUUGUCUCCUUCUGUCCAAGAGAAAAGCAAAUUAAUAAUCAUCCACAGCCCUGACUUGGCCUAUGUUCUGAUGCAUUUUUCCAUUGGCAAAGUACAAAUCAGCCUUCAUUGUCUUUGGCCUCACAGAAAAUUGGUCUAAGUGGAUUCUGGGAAUGUUGGCUAAGGAUGACUUCCUCACAGUAACAGACAUGCUGCCAGGUGGCUGUGACCUCCAGGUAACUGACACAGUCUCAUUCAGAUUCCAGAUUUGCAGAAGAGACAACAGACCAGGAAGAGAAGGGUCCCAUCCAUCGGGUCCAUCCACCUGGGGCCACGCUUGGAGCUGGGGGCGGGGGAGAGCAGAUCACAACUAAGAAGUAUGAGAAGAAACCCCCAAUAUUAUCCACUCCAGGCUCUAAUCUGGGCUUCUUCAUCAACAGGAUUAAAAGCAAUCGGGGAAGGAAUUAUGUGGAAAACUAUCUUUGAGAUAGGAUUAAAAAAAAAAAAAAGUAGUUGAGCUGUUCUUCAAGGCUGGAGGACACAGGAUUGUGAGGAUGACAAAACAGAAAGCCCAAAGGUAUCUUAUCUCAAUGACAGCUAGAGAGUUUAAUCUCAACCCAAGGUCAAGGACAGCUCCUGAGGACGCAAUUUCUUUCACAAGGCCACUGAAAGAGAAACCUGGCAAUUUCAAAUAGGUUCUUCUACCAAGUUUGUGGUAAGGUUUUGAGUUUGAUGUGCGCACACAUGGCCAAAACAAGCUUCCCUGGUUAGCCUUUUUGUACGCCAGCUUUCACACACAAGUGGAACUGUAUAUAAGAGGCAACCAAAAUUUUACAUUCUCCUAAAAGCUUUACUCUUAAUCAGAGAUAUAUAGUAAUAAUAGCACAAAUAUUGUUUUUAAUAAAGAUGAUUGCUAUA